rnacentral:rRNA from 1 species
GACGAACGCUGGCGGCGCGCCUAACACAUGCAAGUCGAACGAGAAAGAGGGAGCUUGCUCCCUUGAUCGAGUGGCGAACGGGUGAGUAACGCGUGAGUAACCUGCCCUAGAGUGGGGGACAACAGUUGGAAACGACUGCUAAUACCGCAUAAGCCCACGGUACCGCAUGGUACUGAGGGAAAAGGAUUUAUUCGCUUUAGGAUGGACUCGCGUCCAAUUAGCUAGUUGGUGAGGUAACGGCCCACCAAGGCGACGAUUGGUAGCCGGACUGAGAGGUUGAACGGCCACAUUGGGACUGAGACACGGCCCAGACUCCUACGGGAGGCAGCAGUGGGGAAUAUUGCACAAUGGGGGAAACCCUGAUGCAGCGACGCCGCGUGGAGGAAGAAGGUCUUCGGAUUGUAAACUCCUGUUGUUGAGGAAGAUAAUGACGGUACUCAACAAGGAAGUGACGGCUAACUACGUG